rnacentral:rRNA from 1 species
UACGUAGGGUGCGAGCGUUGUCCGGAAUUAUUGGGCGUAAAAGGCUCGUAGGCGGUUUGUCGCGUCGGGAGUGAAAUCCACUGGCUUAACUGGUGGCUUGCUUUCGAUACGGGCAGGCUAGAGUGCGGUAGGGGAGACUGGAAUUCCUGGUGUAGCGGUGAAAUGCGCAGAUAUCAGGAGGAACACCGGUGGCGAAGGCGGGUCUCUGGGCAGUAACUGACGCUGAGGAGCGAAAGCGUGGGGAGCGAACAGG